UACGUAGGGGGCGAGCGUUGUCCGGAAUUACUGGGCGUAAAGGGUGCGCAGGCGGCCAUUUAAGUCCCUUGUGAAAGGCCCCGGCUCAACCGGGGAGGGCCAGGGGAAACUGGAUGGCUUGAGUGCCGGAGAGGGUAGCGGAAUUCCCAGUGUAGCGGUGAAAUGCGUAGAGAUUGGGAAGAACACCAGUGGCGAAGGCGGCUACCUGGACGGUGACUGACGCUGAGGCACGACAGCUGGGGGAGCGAACAGG
rnacentral:misc_RNA from 1 species